rnacentral:misc_RNA from 1 species
UGACCAGUUCGGACGUUUUUUUUCUU